AUUCAGCUGAAGAAUGGCAAAUGGGACGAAACUCGCGUCCUGGAU
rfam:Schistosoma haematobium scaffold35_17, whole genome shotgun sequence.